rnacentral:ncRNA from 2 species
CUCACCGAGGAGCGUUGCGACCGUGGCAGCUUCCUGUCCCCGGCCAGGCUCGGUGUGGCGGCCUUGUGCAACGGCGCUCGAUCAUG